UCUGACGGUAAAGAAUCUGCCUGUAAUGCAGGAGACCCAGGUUCGAUCCCUGG
rnacentral:tRNA from 1 species